CACCUGGGUGAAAGGUUGGUGAUUAGC
rnacentral:piRNA from 1 species